CCUGUGUGGUUGUCCUGGCACCAUUUUCACACUGCAGGCCAAAGCGGGCCAAGGCCUGGGUCGGCUGACGAGCUUCCGAGGAACAACUGCAGCAUUGAGGGCAGCCAGGCACACCGCGGGCCUGGAGACGCACCGCCUGACUCAUCUGGCUAAAAAUACACUCCGACAUUCCUCAGCUUCACAUAAAGAUGGCGCAGUGCCGGCCUGAUACGAGAUGUGCCGACGUCGGGCCCUUUUUUGUGUGAUACUGCCACAUGGCCUGCCCCCCCAACCCGGCCCACAAGCCCCGCCACUGUAAAUCCUCCCUCGCAGACUGUGGUGGUGGGGGGAGAGCACUGAUCUGGCAUGCGGUUCAGUCCUGUUCAGACCGGUCUGCGAAGCCUCGUGCGGCUCGGUGUCCCUCUCCUGAGCUGGGAGUGCAUGCAGCAGCCACCCCCCCCCUCCCCACUGGCCGGUUGCCCGGCGGUGUGCGUGAUCCCUCUACUGCCGCACUCAGCUAUGUGUUAAUCAGCUCCAGCGCAGCACCGGAAGGUUUCCACUUUUGGCUUUUUUAAAAUACCACUCAGAUUGCUUCAGGUACAAAUUGCAAUGUCCCAGUUUCCAAUGUCUAAUAAUGCAGCAUCUGUACAACAAAUCACUGCAGGUAUGCUAACCAGUCAGUUCUGACUUUAUUUAUUGCAUUAAAAACAUGCAAAAUGUGUGUUUGCACUUUUCUUUUUCAAAAGGAUAAAAGACUUAAGCUAAACUUGGUUACAAUACAAUUGAAAUUUUGGUGUAUAUCUCAACAUGGGCUGUCUUUUCAUUGCUGGAUAAAUUCAGGCCAAAGCUCCUCACAUCUCUCCAACAUCCUGCGCCCUGAUCAGACUUGGCCUGGCUAACACACUGUACCGUGAAACAUGUCGGCCGGGACCAUCUCUGGAAUUCGGACCCAGAUCCUAAUUAGUCAAACUUCAGGCUGUGAGGUUUGCUGUCAGUCGAAGGGUUAAAGAUUUCAGAUGAACCCGUGGCACAGUCCCCCAUCCCCCAGGCCCUCAGAGUCCGAUUUUAGCAACUGAUACCGAAACACUGGCUGCUGAAGAUUCACAACCGUAGCAAAAACGAGCCUGAACAAAACAGCCGAUAAUGUUCAGUAGCUGCACUCACUCUCUACACUAGGAAUGCUGGUCCUGAUGUACUCGCCAGGUUGCUCUGUGUUUGUGCAUCCUGCCUUGUCCUGGUUUAAGCAGCCUGUCUGAGCUCCGUUUCAUUACAGCAUAAUGCAGUCCCCUGUGCAGUGCUGUCUGCCAGCCUGUACAGAGCUGGCUAAUUGUCAUCAGAGCCAGAGCUAUUUACUCUGCUGUUUGUCAGACCACUUCUGGCAGUGACAGUAUUCUGUUGGAAUAUAAAAGAUAUUUUGUAAAUGCUGACUAUGUACCUGUUUGUGCAAAAUAUAAUCACUUCAUUUAUAUGUGAAUAAAAUGUUUUUUUUUUGGUCA